rnacentral:lncRNA from 1 species
AGACUGUUCAGAUUCAAAAGGGAAGUAUGGUUAACAUUAUUAACAGCAGCUAUAAAUCUAAAAGAAUUAACAUAGAAAUGUCUUCAUCCACCAUGAGCGUAAAGAAAGCGUGAAGAAAGGUUUGAGCUAAUUCCAGUUGAAAUAGUUUGUUACUUACUUAGUCAUAUUGUCCUUUAAAUAUUCAAAGCUGAAGCAAAAACACAACAAUUGUUGCUUCUAGAAACAGCCCAGUUCUCUGUGCUGUGCUUUGCACACUACUGAUCUAAGGCAGACAAACAAAAACAACACAACUGCUGCUCAUCCUGCUUGAUUUCUACUUUUUUUGCUUUGCCCUACCCCUUUCCCAGGUGAUUGGUUGGGUUCCAGGUGGGCCUAAUGGUAUAUAAGCUGCAGGUGUCAUAUCAGAAAACUUCUUCCAUCUGAGCUGCUCUUUGGGGGUAAGUGCUUUGUUUUUUCUGCAGCCAGUUGUGGGGUUCUUUUGGUGGGUCAGAGUGUAUGGGCUGAUGUGUUUCCAAGUUGAUAGAGGAUGUCUUCCAGAUCCACAGGAAACCAUUAAAUGCUAGUAAUGCCAAUAAGACAACGAAGUAAACUGAAGCACAAGAAGCUGAAAAAGAGGAACUUAAUCAUAUUAAUGGAAGCACUAAAAAGAUCGUUGGAAACAAUUGCCUUACAUGAAGCCUUCUGGUAGAAAAUAGAAUUUGAUGUGAUGACAGAUAAAAACGUGCAUCUACCAGACAUGGAAAGAGAGAAGGAAACUUGUGAUACUGUAAUAUUACAAGCAGCAAAUUGUUCCAGAAGACAUCAGCAUGCAGAUCACUGCAUACAAUAUGCGAUCAAGUUAUUGGAAAGAAAAACAGCCGUAGGUUUAGAAAAAUCAUUUCAGUCUCCCUAUAUUGCUGAUCCUUUGAGUAUCCUGUCUAUAGAAGAAAGAAAUGCAGUUCCAAGGAGCUGGUUUGUCAGAAGGCAAAACACACUCGGUAUGAAAAAAGCAUAAAACCUAGAAUUCAGUUUCAGGCUUAUGUUCUCUAGUUUUCUUUAAAA